CCUACGGGGGGCAGCAGUGAGGAAUAUUGGUCAAUGGCCGGAAGGCUGAACCAGCCAAGCCGCGUGAAGGACGAAGGUGCCAAGCAUUGUAAACUUCUUUUGUCAAGGGACACAAUCAGGCUCGAGAGCCUGACCGAGGGUACUUGAAGAAAAAGCAUCGGCUAACUCCGUGCCAGCAGCCGCGGUAAUACGGGGGAUGCGAGCGUUAUCCGGAUUUAUUGGGUUUAAAGGGUGCGUAGGCUGGCUGUUAAGUCAGCGGUAAAAGCCCGGGGCUCAACCCCGGCGAGCCUUUGAAACUGGGUGUCUUGAGAUGUCGAGAGGUAUGCGGAAUGCGCAGUGAAGCGGUGAAAUGCGUAGAUAUAGCGCAGAACUCCGAUGGCGAAGGCAGCAUACCGGCGGCGAUCUGACGCUGAGGCACGAAAGCGUGGGUAGCGAACAGGAUUAGAUACCCGUGUAGUC
rnacentral:rRNA from 1 species